CUCACAAUUUCACUUCUGGGUACACACCUGAAAUAACUGAAAGCAGGAUCUCAAAGAGAUAUUUGCACACCCACGUUCACAGACAGAUUAUUCACAACGGCCAAAGGGUAGAAGCCACUCAAGUGUCUGUCCACAGAGGCAUAAACAAAAUGUGGUAUACGCAUACAAUGGAAUAUUAUUCAGCCUUUAAAAAUGAAGGAAAUUCUGACACAUGCAAAACAUGGAGGAACCUUGACAACAUUAUGCUGAGUGAAGUCAGCCAGUCACAAAGGACACAUACUGUUUGAUUCCAUGUAUAUGAGGCACCUCGAGUAGUCAAAUGCAUAGAACAGAAAGUAGAUGGCGGCUGCCAGGGGCUGGGGGAGGGGAGAAUGGGGAGUUGGUGUUUAAUGGGAACAGAGUUUCAGUUUGGGAGGAUGAAAAAAAGUUCAGCAUCUUGAUGGGGGUGACAGUACACAACAAGGUAAAUGUCCUUAAUGCCACUGAACUGAAUACUUGAAGACAGUUAAAAUGAUAAAUUUUAUGUUAUACAUAUUUACAGUAAAAACACCAACAACAAAAGUUGAGUGAGUACUACUCUGUGCUGGGCACUCGGGGCACAGCAACAGCCAGAAGCCCCCCCGCGCCGAGGGUCGAACACUCAGGGCUGACGGGGGCCACAAAGAAAGGCAGGGGGAGGGGAGAGGCAGCUGCUCUGUGGCGGGAGGUCAGGGAAGCCUCUGCCGAGGUGACACUGAAGCAGAGGAAGUGACAGGCAGGAGGGGAUCAGAGGGUGACCUCCUGGGGACUUGCUGAAUGACAGGAUGUGGGGGUGAGUGCCAGGGCGGGGUCAGGAUGACUUGGGUGAGCAGUUAUGACAUCACCAAGACAAAGCCUGACAAAUUCUGUGUCAACUGGUCAUCCCUCUUCCCCUUCACAACAAGCCCGUGAGGCAGGAAAGACGAGAAAUGGAGCCCAUACAACUGGGUGCAGGACCUGCAGGUGGGAGGAGAGCCCAAGCAGUCUGACGCCGGAGCCGAGCUCUCUCCUCAGGGCUGUCUCCAGAGUUGGAACGCUUCUCCAGGCUGCCUCCCACUGCAGGGCCAAGUGCACCCCCGAACACAGGGCCCAGGGCCCCUCUCCCAGCCCCACUUCAUCUGCAUCACCUGCAGGCAUGGCCCUGCCAGCCCCUGACCUGGGUCAGUGUCCCCGCUCAGAGACCCACCCAUCCUGCAGAUGGGGCCUUGGAAGCCCAGGAGAUGGGAGCUGGCAGAUAAGGAGGUGGCUUCCCCGUGGGACUUCUCCUCUCUCCCUGCCAGGAGCCGCAGCCUCACAGUUCUAGGGUGAAGGAGGACAGCCCAGUCAGCACUUUCCACUGACUCUUUCAAAACCACUGACAAGCUCUGAGACAGACUGGUGAGACGAGUGCGGCCCGGGCGCAGUUCCCCCUUGCCGGCCCCGCGUGACUCUGCACAAAGCCCAUCUGUGCUUCGGCUCCAGCCCCCAGGAGGGGGACUCUGAGAGGAUGCAGGCCCAUCCUUUCUCCAAGCCACAGGGUCCCCACUCUGCUGAGCCCAGGCCCUGUGCUCCCUGCCCACAGAGAUGCCGCCACCCCAACAGCAGAGCUGAGCUGUCCAAGGCUCACUGGGCCCAGGCUGUGUUUGUGGGGAGGGGCUCCCCCUCCAUUGUAAACUCUUUUCCAGCAAAGCUGCCUCUCCUACGGCCCCUGCUCAGCAUAGUUCAUCACAGAGUCUCACUGGCCCAAGAUUUUCUCCUCCUGGUAACUUCAGAGAGGUUCAGCUGUGCUCCUCUAACAAGUCCUAACACACACUCGCCCAUAAAGGACUCUCCAUAAAGUUCAACCCUGAAGAAGGAACCCCACCACCUCCCGCCCCAGCAAGAGCUGGAACCAGGUCUGAAAAGCCAAUGGUGUUCAUUUCAAAAUGGGCACGUGGGCCCUGGGCCCAUGAUUUGACCCAUAAAACACCUACGGAGUUAAGACGCUGAGCUUGGACAACAAACAUAUCCUUCAAGUCCUUUGGUUGAGUUCAAAGAGAGACAAUAACAUGCCAACUUUCGAAAUCAAGAAAUGUCUGGUCUUAGAAUUCCAUCAUCAUCAUCAUCAUCACUAGUUUUCACUGAGCAUGUCUGACAUGCAUGCUAAGCAUUCCAGGUGGAAUAAAGCAGUUAAUCCUCACGUCAAUAUCCCCAUUCCACAGAGGAGGAAACCGAGGGUCAGAGAGGUUCCACAACCUGCCAUGUGACAUAAGACGCUCCAAAAUUCAUUUAGUAAGAUACUAAGGCUCAAGCUUUACUCAUCUUUAAAACCAAGGAAUGAGUCAAGCUCAUCAUCUUUUCUUGAGUUACUUUUUCAGAUUAACUCAAAAGUUUUGCAUUAAUUGUGUAUGACUUUUUAAUUUUCCAAAAUAAAGGAGAGUAAAAGA